rnacentral:lncRNA from 1 species
GGGGCCAAAAAGGGCCCAAAUAAGCAUUUUCUUGGUUUUCGCACUAUAACUUUAGUUUAAGUGAAUAGAAAUCUAUGAAAUUUUGACACAAGGUUUAUGACCACAAAAGGAAGGUUGGGAUUGAUUUUGGGGUUUUGGUUCCAACAGUUUAGGAAUUAAGGGCCAAAAAAGGGCCCAAAUAAGCAUUAUUCUUGGUUUUCGCACAAUAACUUUAGUAUAAGUAAAUAGAAAUCAAUGAAAUUUUAGCACAAGGUUUAUGACCACAAAAGGAAGGUUGGGAUUGAUUUUUGGAGUUGAGGUCACAACAGUUUAUGAAUUAGGGCCAAAAAGGGCCCUAUUAAGCAUUAUUUUUGGUUUUUGCACCAUAACUUUAGUAUAAGUAAAUAGAAAUCUAUGAAAUUUAAACACAAGGUUUAUGACCAUAAAAGGAAGGUUGG